UUUAAGCACAACCAUAGUUUUCGUGUCCAACUUUGAUCAUUUGUCUUAUUUAAAUUUUUUAUUAGUAUUUUUAUUGUUAUUAGAUGAUAAAAAUAUGAAUAGUACUUUUAUGCAGAACUUAUGUUUUUUAAUUUUUUUAGAAAUCUUUUAAAUAAGACGAAUGGCUGUGCUCAAAAUAAGACGGGAGAGUAAUG
rnacentral:pre_miRNA from 1 species